rnacentral:tmRNA from 1 species
GGGGCUGACAGGCUUUCGAUUGCGAGCCAAGUCACCAGAGAAGCGUGCCGGGAUGCAACGCCCGUAACAGUGCAACCCUGAUAAGCGCAAACGCUCAUCAGUCCGACUACGCCCUAGCUGCGUAGUUCGUUGGGGUACAACGGUUUACCCGUUCCGUGUGCCAAUCCACCGUCGCCAAUACGGGGAACCCUCAUAGGUGAUGAAGCGACACCACGCAGAGGCUAACAGCGCAGGGGUUCCGCAACGUCGUUGAGAGCGACACGGAUGAUCGUCCAUCAUGACCGUGAGAAAACCCGGUGGACUACGCACGUAGAAGACUGUGACAAGUCACGUAAGACCCCGGUUCAAUUCCGGGCAGCUCCACGA